rnacentral:miRNA from 1 species
UCGCCGGCCGCGCUGUAACCAGG